CAGCAGCCGCGGAAAUACAGAGGGUGCAAGCGUUAAUCGGAAUUACUGGGCGUAAAGCGCGCGUAGGUGGUUUGUUAAGUUGGAUGUGAAAGCCCCGGGCUCAACCUGGGAAAUGCAUCCAAAACUGGCAAGCUAGAGUACGGUAGAGGGUGGUGGAAUUUCCUGUGUAGCGGUGAAAUGCGUAGAUAUAGGAAGGAACACCAGUGGCGAAGGCGACCACCUGGACUGAUACUGACACUGAGGUGCGAAAGCGUGGGGAGCAAACAGGAUUAGAUACCCGCGUAGUCCCUGUCUCUUAUAC
rnacentral:rRNA from 1 species